rnacentral:lncRNA from 1 species
UCGGAGAAAAUAGCUAUUUUGUACUACCGUACGUUAAAUAUAAAAAUAUUUAAAUACUAUUCUCUAUAAGCUUAAGCUUUUCGCUAUUUUGCACUACCGUGCGUUAAAUAGCUAUUUUACACUACCGUUCGUUAAAUAUAAAAAUAUUUAUACACUGUUCUCUAUAUAAGCUUAAGCUUUUAGAGUACAACGAUUAUUUCAUAUUAUUUCACAUAGUAUCAGAGAAUUUAAAGUUUUGUACCAGUUAAUUUUUUAUUUUUCCAGUGGCGAAAAAAGAUACUAAUAGAGCAAGUGGCAAAGGGCUUGGUGGUUGGUACCCGAGACCCAAGUUCGAAUCCUAGUUGAUUCACAUUUCCAGCUAAGUUUAUUUCUAAAUAAAAUAAACGAAGCGGAUAGCGUGCUACCUAUCUUAAAAAAAAAAAAAAAUUACAGAAAUAACUUAUGAAAGUUGAACUUUACAGAAAUAUAUCUGUAAUUUACUAUGUUUGCGGAGACCUGUACGAAAUUAACCCUAAUUAAACGAAGCGGAUAGCGUGCUACCUAUCUCUCAAAAAAAAAAAAAAUUGUAGAAAUAACUUAUGAAAGUUGAACUUUAUAGAAACAUAUCUGUAAUUUACUAUGUUUGCGGAGACCUGUACGAAAUUAACCCUAAUUAAUUGAUGAAAGUG